rnacentral:rRNA from 1 species
GAUGAACGCUAGCUACAGGCUUAACACAUGCAAGUCGAGGGGAAACGACAUCGAAAGCUUGCUUUUGAUGGGCGUCGACCGGCGCACGGGUGAGUAACGCGUAUCCAACCUGCCCAUCACUUGGGAAUAACCUUGCGAAAGUAAGACUAAUACCCAAUGACAUCCCACGAAGACAUCUGAAUGGGAUUAAAGAUUUAUCGGUGAUGGAUGGGGAUGCGUCUGAUUAGCUUGUUGGCGGGGUAACGGCCCACCAAGGCAACGAUCAGUAGGGGUUCUGAGAGGAAGGUCCCCCACAUUGGAACUGGGCCACGGACCAAACGCCUACGGGAGGCAGCAGUGAGGAAUGUUGAUCAGUGGGCGAGAGCCUGAACCAGCCAAGUAGCGUGCAGGAUGGCGGCCCUAUGGGUUGUAAACUGCUUUUAUAAGGGAAUAAAGUGGGUCUCGUGAGACUUUUUGCAUGUACCUGAUGAAUAAGGACCGGCUAAUUCCGUG